rnacentral:rRNA from 1 species
UACGUAGGGGGCAAGCGUUGUCCGGAUUUAUUGGGCGUAAAGAGCGUGUAGGCGGCUUUACAGGUCCGUUGUGAAAACUCGAGGCUCAACCUCGAGACGCCGGUGGAAACCGUAAGGCUAGAGUCCGGAAGAGGAGAGUGGAAUUCCUGGUGUAGCGGUGAAAUGCGCAGAUAUCAGGAGGAACACCGGUGGCGAAGGCGGAUCUCUGGGCCAUUACUGACGCUGAGGAGCGAAGGCGUGGGGAGCGAACAGG